GACGAACGCUGGCGGCGUGCUUAACACAUGCAAGUCGAACGGAAAGGCCCUGCUUGCAGGGUACUCGAGUGGCGAACGGGUGAGUAACACGUGGGUGAUCUGCCCUGCACUUCGGGAUAAGCCUGGGAAACUGGGUCUAAUACCGGAUAGGAGCCACUUUUAGCGUGAUGGUUGGAAAGUUUUUUCGGUGUAGGAUGAGCUCGCGGCCUAUCAGCUUGUUGGUGGGGUAAUGGCCUACCAAGGCGGCGACGGGUAGCCGGCCUGAGGGGGUGGACGGGCACAUUGGGACUGAGGUACGGCCCAGUGUCCUACGGGAGGCAGCAGUGGGGAAUAUUGCACAGUGGGCGCGAGCCUGAUGCAGCGGCGCCGCGUGGGGGAUGACGGCCUUCGGGUUGUAAACACCUUUCGCUAGGGACGAAGCUUUUGUGACGGUACCUAGAUAAGAAGCACCGGCUAACUACGUG
rnacentral:rRNA from 1 species